UACGUAGGGGGCUAGCGUUGUCCGGAAUCAUUGGGCGUAAAGAGCGUGUAGGCGGCCCGGUAAGUCCGCUGUGAAAGUCGGGGGCUCAACCCUCGAAUGCCGGUGGAUACUGUCGGGCUAGAGUGGGGAAGAGGCGAGUGGAAUUCCUGGUGUAGCGGUGAAAUGCGCAGAUAUCAGGAGGAACACCAAUUGCGAAGGCAGCUCGCUGGGACGUAACUGACGCUGAGACGCGAAAGCGUGGGGAGCAAACAGG
rnacentral:rRNA from 1 species